rnacentral:rRNA from 1 species
GACGAACGCUGGCGGCGUGCUUAACACAUGCAAGUCGAACGCUGAAGCUUGGUGCUUGCACUGGGUGGAUGAGUGGCGAACGGGUGAGUAAUACGUGAGUAACCUGCCCUUGACUCUGGGAUAAGCCUGGGAAACUGGGUCUAAUACUGGAUACGACAUGUCACCGCAUGGUGGCGUGUGGAAACGGGUUUACUGGUCUUGGAUGGGCUCACGGCCUAUCAGCUUGUUGGUGGGGUAAUGGCUCACCAAGGCGACGACGGGUAGCCGGCCUGAGAGGGUGACCGGCCACACGGGGACUGAGACACGGCCCAGUCUCCUACGGGAGGAAGCAGUGGGGAAUAUUGCACAAUGGGCGAAAGCCUGAUGCAGCGACGCCGCGUGAGGGAUGACGGCCUUCGGGUUGUAAACCUCUUUCAGCACGGAAGAAGCGAAAGUGACGGUACGUGCAGAAGAAGCGCCGGCUAACUACGUG